GGGAGGGCGGCGCGGACUGCCGGAGCCUCCCCGGGAAGUACGGCGGCGCGGACGGCGCCCGCCCAAGAUUGCACUGAGAGGAGCUCACGCCCCCGAGAGCAUGAACCCUGGAAACCAUGCUUCAGUCCCACAGCCCAAGCUUUUGCUGAUUACCUGGCUGAACGCGAACAACCUGGGCCAGUCGGGGAUAUGAAACCUGGUUAGUCUCUGCUGGGCUCUGAACCAGGAAAUGAUGCAGAGAUGAGCUGGGCGGCUGUGUGGGCCAAGUACUUGUGGAGACAAAGGGCAAAUCAGCAGAGAGAAUAAAGUUGCUAAGAUCUUCACAUCCAGAUGAAUGAAAGUGGUGAUAGUGGCACC